rnacentral:lncRNA from 1 species
AAAUUGUGACAACUCAUAACAACCAAAGUUCUAAUUUUUUUUUCAUUUUCUAAUAAAAUAUAAAUCUUUAAUUUUGGGAUUUGAGAACCCGACCAUUUCUCUGUUAUCAUCUUUCAUCCAUUUCUUCAUCCAUGGUUUAACUUCAUCAUCAAUGAUUCUCAUUUUUUCGAAUUUCUUCUUAUAAUUAUACUUUCCAGUUUCCACCCUAAGCUCCAACAACCUAUUUCACCAAUCUCCCUUGCAUAUAAACUGGGUCCUCUUUCUUUAAUUUUACUGUUCAUGAAAAUAACAAAAAAAUUUAAAAACAACUACAAAAAUUUUCAAUCUUUCAAUUCCUAACAAUGACAACGGGGUCGGCAUCCAACAUUUGAGAAGGAUUUUUUAUGGAAGUUUCCAAUAAGCAUAAUACCCAAAUCCACCAUGCCUCUUCUCACAUGCAGUGAGUGAUUUCUUGAUUUU